GCAAACUUGGUCAUUUAGAGGAAGUAAAAGUCGUAACAAGGUUUCCGUAGGUGAACCUGCGGAAGGAUCAUUACCGAGUUAGGGUCCCUCGAGGGCCCGACCUCCUACCCUGUGUCUACCUGACCUCUCGUUGCUUCGGCGGGCCCGUCUUCCCUCUCUACGGAGAGUUGACCGCCGGAGGGUUCACACCCUUUGGCCCGUUGUCCGCCGAUGGCCACAAACCUUAAACUCAGUUAAACUAUGUCUGAAAAUUGAGAAAAUCAAUAAAAUAAAAACUUUCAACAACGGAUCUCUUGGUUCUGGCAUCGAUGAAGAACGCAGC
rnacentral:misc_RNA from 1 species